UAACAGGAGGUGCAAGCGUUACUCGGAAUUACUGGGCGUAAAGCGUGCGUAGGUGGUUUGUUAAGUCUGUUGUGAAAGCCCCGGGCUCAACCUGGGAAUGGCGAUGGAUACUGGCUCGCUAGAGUGCGGUAGAGGAGAGUGGAAUUCCCGGUGUAGCAGUGAAAUGCGUAGAGAUCGGGAGGAACAUCAGUUGCGAAGGCGGCUCUCUGGACCAGCACUGACACUGAGGCACGAAAGCGUGGGGGAGCAAACCGG
rnacentral:rRNA from 1 species